ACGAAAAGGCUGGCAAUAACUGGGAAACUACAUUAAGAAUGAGUCACUGCCAUUUGGACAGCAGGAGAGAAAAGGAAAGAACGUUCGAAAGAUAAGUGUGAAUACUUCAACACUAUCUUACAAUGCAAUGUUUUAACAAUUACAUGUGACAAGUUGUCACAUUUUGAGUAAUAACUAUGUAUAACUAAGCAUACCUGAGUUUGACUUGUCAAAACCAAAAGCAGAAAUGAAAUUUCACUGUAAUCUUUCACUCAAAGUGAUUUAUGUUUCAAAUUUUAAGCUAGCAAUCGAAUUUUAUUCUGAUAAAGCUGCUGGUUAAGCAGCUUUAAAAAAAAGGCUACUGGGAUUUUUCUUACAGCACAUCAUCAUUUUAGCAUUAGUAUUAGAUAAUAACUUGACUUGGCUCUUGAGUGACCAAUACGUCACCCUUGAGAUGACAGAUGAUUACCUUCUCACUAUUUUUGAGUUAAAAUACAGAAGAUUAAUGUAAAGCAGUUAGUGAUGACCCGGGAUGGUCUCAGAGAACAACAUGAAAAUGUGUAGUCCCUCCUCACAUAAACUAAAAUUAGAUGACAUGGUGUAUUGCCUCUGCAAUCUUCCAAUUCCCAUUCUUACAGAUGUUACCUAAUAUUAUUAUUCUAAACCAAUGAACCGGGACUCUACAAUUCACAUUCUCAAUAUUCUAGAUAUCUUUUCCCCACCCCUUAUGGGUGGUGUGUAUGUGUAUUUUUCCCUCAAUGUCAGGUCUUCUAUCAGAAGCCUGAGAAUUUGAGGGUUUCAGCAUAGUACCCUUGCUGUUCCUAGUAGUGAACUCUUCCGAACUGAGAUCUCAGAUUUUGUUCCCGGUAUUUGUUGGAGCCUCUCUCCCAGUCCAGGAGUCACAGCUCCACGUGCUCCUAUCACCACCAGGAUUACUCUGGCUUUUACCCUCCAACAUCCUUUUUAUCUGCCCUCGUAUUUCUGCAGCUUCUCAUAUCCUUUCUUCAUGAUUUUACUGUCAUUUGAGAUUGCCAUAUCUAUUACUAUUGUUUUCUUCUGUCUUUAUCCAAUAUAUAUAUACACAGUGCCUAUAAAAGGUGUUUACUCCCUUUGAAAAUUUUCAUGAGAGCAUAAGACAUAGGAGCAGAAUUUGGCCAUUCAGCCCAUCAAGUCUGCUCUGUCAUGGCGGAUCCUGGAUCCCAUUCAACCCCAUACACCUGCUUUCUCGCCAUAUCCUUUGACGUCCUUUGAUGACAGCUGCUUCACCAGUCACAGCUUUAUGGGAGAGUGGCAAACAGGAAGCCACUGUUGAAAGAGACUCCAAUGAAAUCUCAGCUAGAGUUUGCCAAAAGACAUGUGAGAGACCCUGAAGUCAGCUGGAAGAAGGUUCCAUGGUCUGAUGAAACCAAAAUUGAGCUUUUUUGCCAACAGACUAAACGUUAUGUUUGGUGUAAGCCAAACACUAAACAUAAUCAACAACACACCAUCCCUACCAUGAAGCCUGGUGGUGGCUGCAUCAUGCUGUGGGGAUGCUUCACUGCAGCAGGCUCUGGAAGGCUUGUGAAGGUUGAGGGUAAAAUGAAUGCAGCAAAAUACAGGGAAACCCUCGAGGAAAAGCUGAUGCAGUCUGCAAGAGAACUGUGACUUGGGAGAAGAUUUGUUUUCCAACAAGACAAUGACCCCAAGCUCAAGCCAAAGCUACACAGAAAUGACUUAAAAACAACAAAGUUAAUGUCCUGGAGGGGCCAAGUUAGAGUCCAGACCUCAAUCCAAUUCAGAAUUUGUGGCUGGGCUUGAAAAGGGCUGUUCACUCACAAUCCCCAUGCAAUCUGACAGAGCUCAAGCAGUUUUGUAAAGAAGAAUGGUGAAAAACUGCAGUGUCCAGAUGUGCAAAACUGUUAGAGACCUAUCCACACAGACCCAAAGCUGGAAUUGCUGCCAACGGUGCAUCUACUAACUACUGACUUGAAGCAGUGAAUACUUAAGCAAUCGAUUAUUUUGUGGUUUUUAUUUGUAAUUAAUUUAGAUCGCUUUGUAAAGAUCUGCUUUCACUUUGACACAAAAGAGUCUUUUUCUGUUGCUCAGUGUUAAAAAAAACAAAUUAAAUCCACUGUGAUUCAAUGUUGUAAAACUAUAAAACACGAAAACUUCCAAGGUUGAUGAAUACUUUUUAUAGGCACUGUGUACACACACACACACUCUACACACUCACUCACACUCACACACACACAUACUCAUGCAUGUAUAUAUAUACAAACGUACCUGUGUAUGUGUGUGUGUGUGUGUAUAUAUAUAUAUAUAGAUAGACAGAUUUUUAAAAUAUAUUUUUUCUCACCCUUUAUGGGUGGUGCAUAUGAAUAUUUCUCCCUCAAUCUCGGGUCCUUUACCAGAGGCCUGGGAGUUGAGGGUUCGGUGAACUAUCCUUGCUGUUCCUAGUAAUGCGCUCUUCUGCACAGAGAUCUCAAAUGUUGAUCUUGGGAUUUGUUGGAGCCACUCUCCCAGUCCAGGUGUCACAGCUCCACGUGCUCCUAUCACCACCAGGAUUACUCUGGCUUUAACCCUCCACAUCCAUUCCAUCUGCUCUUUCAAGCCCCGGUAUUUCUCCAGCUUCGCAUAUUCCUGAUGUUACUGUCAUUCGGGAUUUCCACAUCUAUUACUAUUGCUUUCUUCUGUUCCUUGUCCAAUAUUUUGAUGUCUGGUUGGUUGGCCGGUGCCUGCUUAUCAGUCUGUAUCUGGAAGUCGCAUGGGAUCUUACUCUGUCGUUCUCCACUACCUUCUCGGGAGUUUCCCAUUUGGACUUGGGAAUGUCCAAUCCAUACUCAGCGCAGAUGUUCCUGUACACAGUUCCUGCAGCCUGGUUGUGUCAUUCUGUGAAUGUUGUCCCUUCCUGUAUCUUACACCCUGCUACUAUGUGCUGGAUAGUUUUAGCUGAUUCCUUGCAUAGUCUGAGUGUUGGUCUUGUCUGGUGUGAUAGACCCCUGAUUCUAUUGCCCGUGCUCAGCACCUGUUCUUGUGCAGUCGUGUGAAGCACCUCUGUGGUGUCCCUCAACCCUGCCAUUUCCAGCCAUUGGUGGGACUUUCUUAUGUCAGUCACCUCUGAUAUCAGGCGAUGGUACAUUGCAAGGAGUGGCUUGUCCUGCCAUGGCCUCUGGCUCUGCUUCACCUACUUCCAUAUCCAUGCCCCUGACUGAUGUCUGAGGUAUUCUCCUAGCAAGAAUGGGCUGCCGGUGAUGGUGGUGGAGGCGGAUACAGUAGGGUCUUUUAAGAGACUCCUGGACAGGUACAUGGAGCUCAGAAAAAUAGAGGGCAAUGGGUAAGCUGAGGUAAUUUCUAAAGUAAGUAUGUGUUUUACGCUGUGUAAAACACAUACUUACUUUAGAAAUUACCUCGGCUGAAGGGCCUGUAUUGUGCUGUAAGAAAAUGUGUGUUAUGAUCCCAUUCCACAAAUAAGCUGAGACAGUUCAGGUCACAUCCAAAUCCAUGCAUUCAUCUCAUUAACAGCUUUACAGUGUCACAUCAAUGCCACCUAUUCAGUCUAUUUCAGUCUAAUUAGUCUAUUCAGCAUGAGGUUGGAGUUUCAUAUGCCGUAGCUGAAGAUGACUGGUGCUAACUAAAAAUGUGACUGUGCCUCCUGCCUUCAAACCGGCUGAAAUAAUACUUCACGGUCAGUUUGGAGAAUCACAUUGGAAGUUUAAUCUUUCCAACAUUUCUUAUUUACAGGACAAACCUAAAGCUACUGUCAGCAAAAUUACUAUAAAAACACUUAGAGGCGAUCAUAUCAAGGUGCAAGUACAAUUAAAGUUAAAUGUCUGUGUUUUUGUUAAAAUAGCUGAUACAGGAAUUUAAAGGGAUGUCCACUCCCCACUGAUGUAGCACCUCCCACUUGAAUGAUCUGAAUCCACACUACAUAGUACUUAAAAUCCAGCAAUAGAACACAGUAGUGCUAGAAAUGUUCCCUGGUAAAUAGCACAAGAGCUAUAAAAAGUUUUUGUGCUUUCAGAAAUUAAAAUGAAAAAUAAAACCUGAAAAUAUUCUUUUUUAAUUUUGUUAAUGGGCAAUCUUCCUCGCUUAUUACAGUUAUAACUCUGAAUUAAAUUCCCAGGGCAGGGAGAUUUCUUAUCAGUUACACCUAUUUAACUGUUGUAAAAAUAGGUGGGAAUUGAACUACCAUUUUGUAAUCUCAUUCUAUUUACUGUUUUGGUUCCAGAAGCACUUGUUUAUUUUGGUGUUCCAUAUUCAAGCAAUCCAGUAUAGUGAUCAGCCAUCUAUUCGUCAAUCCAAGUUACUGUAGCGAGAUUUUGACGUAUCUGGAGAGAGACUGAUAGAAUUACCGUACCCUGCACGGUGUGGAGAAAAAAGAGAGGUGAGGAUGAAGGAAAUGACAAAACAAGCAAGUGAAACCAUGGAUGAAUAAAAGGCACAAAAAGAAGAUGAAAGGGGAAGUAGAGGUUUGCUCCUGAUACACAGUGUGCGCAUAUUUCAGGUCAGCACCUGAGGAAAGUGGUGUAAAGUCACUGUCACUAGUACACACAAAGAAAUGGACUGAAGAAGACCCACUGGAGUCAGGACAAGUUAGGACAACAUCUAAACUGUACAGGAUCCAGUACAGAAGGCCAAACAAAGCUAGUCUGAGGAAAUGGAUGAGAUUCUAUGUACCUCCUUCGAGAUUGUUCCAUUUUUCGAAGGCUCAGCUACCAGCCUAGAUGAGUAUGUCACUGACGUUAUGGAGCUUAUCAGCAAGCGUGUUGUUCCAGGUGUUCCCAAACUGGAAAUCAUGAAUGAACUGGGAGAUUCACUCCUUACUGAAAUCUAGGACUGUGGUGUUCAAAUCAGGUGACCCUGAAUUUUACAAGAAAUUGAGAUACGACCUCCACAAAGCUAUCAGGGAUAUCAAGAGACAAUACCAGUCCGAAAUCAAGUUUUAGAACAACUAUCAGUUGUGACUUAUAUGCUAUAAUGGGCUACAAAACAAAAUCAGUCAGCAUUACUGACAACAGCACAUCCCUUCCUGAUGAUGCUAAUGUGUCCUAUGUAUGCUUUGAGUCGAAGGGGAUUGGAAUGUCACCACCAGUUCCAAGAGGCUCCAGUGCACUUGAACCCACAAUCACGUUUGCUGACGUAAGGUCAGUAAUCCAGAGAGUGAACCUGUUGAAAGCACCUGGCCUGGAUGGUAUCCUUUGCCAUGUCCUUACAUCCUGCGCAGAUCCUGUGGGGGUAACACUGACAAUUUUAAUUCCCCCCCCCCGGCUUCAAUCCGAGGUUCUCAUUUGAUUUAAGAAGACCACUCUUAUCCCAGCAUCUGAGGAAAACAAGGUAAUGUGCUUUAAUGAUUACCACUUGCUGGCUCUGACAUCCUCCAUCAUGAAGAACCUCCGGAGUCUGGUCACCUCACACAUGAACUCCAGUCUUCCAGACAACUUCGACCCACUGCAACUUGUCCACUGCCAAAAUAGGUCUGCAGCAUAUGCUGUGGAUGCCACCUCACUGGCCCUAGUCAUCUGGACAGUAAAGACACCCACACCUGACUAUCCUUUAUUAACUACAGCUCCGCGUUCAAAUCUAAAAUUCUAAAAAGCCCAUCUCCAAAUUCCCAAACUUGGGAUUUCAAUCUUUCUUUAUUCUUGCCUUCCUGACUGACAGACGACAACAAGGAAGGAUAAGCUGCAACGUCUCCCCUACAAUUAACCUCAACACUGGUGCCCCACAAGGCUGUGUCCUUAGUAACCCUACCCUACUCCCUGUACACUCACCAUCGCCUGGCCACGUUCUGCUCUGACUCCAUCUACAAGUGUGUGGAUGAUCCACCAUAGUGAGCUGUAUCUCAACUUACGAUGAGGCAGAGUACAGAAAGGAGAGAGAGAGCCAAGUGACAUGGUGUCAUAACAAUAACCUUUCCCUCAAUGUCAGCAAAACUAAAGAACUGGUCAAUGACCUCGGGGGAGCAGUGCACAAGCUCCUGUUUACAUCAACAGUGCUGAGGUUGAAAGGGCUGAGACUUCAAAUUCCUAGGAGUGAACGUCACCAAUAGCCUGUCCUGGUCCAACCACUUUGAUGCCACAGCCAAGAAAGCUCGCCAAUGCGUCUACUUCCUCCAGAGAGUAAAGAUAUUUGCCAUAUCCUUUUUGACCCUCAACAAUUCUGAUCAAUGCUCCUUAGAAAUGUAUUCUCCAGAUACAUUAAGGCUUGAUAUGGCAACGGCUCUGCCUGUGACCUCAAGAAACUACAUUGUCUUGGUCACAGCUCAUCACAUCAUGAAAACUGGCCUCUCCUCCAUGGACUGUCUCCAACCUUCUCACUAAAGCAGCCAGUAUAAUAAAAGACCCUGCCCACCCUAGAUACUCUCUGUUCUCCCCACUUCCACUGGGCAGAAUAUACAAAAUUCUGAAUGUGUGUACCCACCAGGGUCAAGGAUAGCUUCCAUCCUGCUGUUAUAAAAAAUAUUCGACAAUUUCCUAGAAGGAAAGGUUGUGCUCAUAUCCUCAUAAUCUACCUCAUUAUGACCUUGAACUCGACCUUCACCACACUUUUUCUUUACAGUAACACUUUUCUACACUCUGUUCCUGCUUUACCUUGUACUACCUCAACACACUUUUGUAAUGAAUUGUUCUCUGGGAACAUUAUUGAAGACACUUUUUUCUCUGCACCUUAGAACAUGUGACAAUUAUUACAAUUAUAUAAAAGAAUUCCAAUUAGGUUGGGAAAUUGUCAUUUGUUUGAUAUUCCACAGAUGUCAACUCUCUUUCAAUCUACUGGCACACAUUGGCAAGUGAUUUCUAGAAUCCCAGAAUUUUGUCCAAGUGUCACGCUGAUAAUUAUGGAAGAGAGUGUGAGGGUUCUGGAGAAAGCCAUUAAAAUUUUCCCUCCACUAUAUGCAAACAUACAAUUAUGGAUUUUGAACCUAAAAUAUCAUUAUACUCUUAAAUAUAAAUAUACUUUGAUUGACGUAAUCUCCAUAGUUGAGUGAUCUUGAUAGUACAUUGUAUAUUACAGAAGGCAAUCCUGUGACUCACCAUGUAGAAAAUCGUUGUAAAAAAGCUAGUAACAUAUUAGUUUUCAAUUCACUAACUGGGGCCUUGAUUCUGUGAUACUUAACCACUAGGAAAGGUAUUUCCAAUUGCUUGGCAUUGAUCUGUCUCUACUUAUCAAAGAUGUGGCAAAUUCUGUGCUCAUUGAUCUAGUUCCAAUCAACCUGAAAGAUUAUUGCAGCUAAGAGGUGAGGGCAUCACCAGGAAACAAGUAACCAGAUUAAUAUCCAAUUCUGAAUGGUUUAGUUUAAUAUAAGUAUUGUAUAUCAAUUCUGUGUGCUUGUUUGUGAUGACCAGCUUGCCAUGUUAUGAGAACAGAGUACCAGAUAAGAACUUCCAUAGAAGGCAAAAUCACAUUAGGUUUCUUUUCAGUGUUUGAAGCAAUUGAUAAUUCCCAAUUUAUGUGGCCCAUUCUGUAAGUGAGAGAGCUUGAAGAUGUGUUUGUGACAUCAAUCCUAGAUAGGAGUCAAAGUCAGUACACACCUAUUGUCAAUAGAUACAUCAGUUCAUUUAGUUUCCCAACAGGUCAAAGAAGAAUAAACAUGCAGUCUAUGACCUCUGCAUCACUGUGCUGUUAAUAGCAGCCAAUCAGCUUCAUAUCAUCACGCAAUCUAAACAGAAUCCAAGGCUGCACUUUUCUGCUCUCAGCAAUAAAAAAGGUCCAGGCCUGCCAAACAUGUUUGAUAACUUGUAGAAUAUGGCAGCUCUGUAAUUAAUGAUUAACAUGGUGGUGAUGAAAGUCCUUAUUUCAGAAUGAUGAAUGCAGAGAUAAAUGAAAUGCACCCUCCACUAUCUAAGGUACAGAGAGGCUUUGUAGGUGUUGUCAAUCUGACAGAUUGUUGAAAGGUUCACACCGCAGCAUUGUGGGCCAAACUUUGUGGACAAGCUUGUAGUUGCAGUUAGACUUCUGUACUUUGUUUCUUCUUGGAGGGCAUUGUAACGUAUUAUUGAUUUUACUGAAAUGUUCAAACAGCAAAGUAUUUUAACUCACCAGUUAAAUCAUAGCAAAAAGUUAUUUCAAGUUAUUUCCAAUAGAUGGAUCGCAUCACAAAGAGUAAAUGGUUUAUUUUAACGAGGUAAAAUGUUCCCCAAUCUUAGAAUACCUCAGCUCAAGUGAUUUGCCUUUAAUAGCAGAACUGGGAAAUGGUGUGGCACCAUAGAAUGAUACUGAAGGGGUUCUGCAUCAGUCCCAAACACGCUCAGCUCUGCUAUUUAAGAAGCUACCAAAAGGAAACCAGUCAUUCUCUUGUUCAGAGUUGUAAACAAUAUUGUCUUAUGAUUCCUGGCAGCUAAGCAAACAGCAGGGCCAACAGUGCUGUAAGAGGGGAGAAUCGUUCUCUCUCUCAAUAAUGGCCCAAGCACUUAUCAGACAUUGUCUCAUCAAAGGACCUGGGGUACAUGACCUCAGUGGUAUACAAAUACCAUUUAAAACAAAGAAAAAGCCCAUUUUACCACUGAGAUCUGGGGGAAACUAUCUGUUAACAAUGGGUUUAGGUUACUUUAUCCUUAUACUACAUUCUGUAAAGACUUUUUAGUCUACAAUCAGAUUUCUGAAUGGAUAUUGAAUCCGUGAACACUGCCUCACUACAUUUGUUUCACUUUUUGUACUACUUAUUUAAUUUAGCUUUUAAGUAUAUAUACUUAUUACUGUAUUUUAUCAUUUUUAUGAUUAUGUAUUACAAUGUACUGCUGCUGAUUAGUAACAAAUUUCAUGACAGUGUGUCAGUGAUUCUGAUUUACCAUCUUGACCUCUCCACCAGCACUUCCUCUAUUCCUUCAUUCUCUUUUGCUUAUUCCUGCCCCCUCCGCAUUUAAAUCUUAAGAUAUUAAACCCCCAAAACCUGUA